UUCCUGAUCUGGCUUACCACAGCUGUACAAAUACUACGAAGAGGGGACAGGACCAACUUUAGCUGCUCUCAGCUAAAACAGAGGGAUCGGUAUGCUGCCAACAUCCACCUCGUCAUUGUAAACACACAAAGCCCAAAAAAGAAACUAAUCAAAUAUUUCCUAAGGUGACUUACUUAUUUCCAAGAGAACACAAAUCACCUGGUGCCACUGACAGACAGACAGAGGAAAACAUUCUUCCAGUUUUGUCCAGAAGGAAGCAGCUGGGACAGCAUUGCAAGGAGUCUUCCAAAGUGUGCAAAGUUUUUGAUGAGUUGAGAAAUGAGAAUAACAGAACUGCUGAAACGAAGCUAAAUCAAGAGUUACAAAUUACACUGCUAAAGAAGAAAUCUCCCAAACUGGAAAAGAAUGUUGAAGCUAGAAAUGGUCUUUUUAAAAUUUCUCUAAAAGCUACAUCAGGUACAGACAAUAUAAAUACUUAGGAGUCUCAGUAUUGUUGAUCAUCCUGGCCUUUUGCAUGAAGAUAAGAAUUUUUGCUGCUCUUUUAUCUUCCAUUUCUGUAACAAACUUGCAAAUUAACUUUUCAGAGUGGCUGGUAUUACUGCAACUGAAAGCUUAUACUGGUAUCAUGAAACAUGAAUUUCUCAAUUUGAACCAAUGCACUUAGAAUACUGAAGUUCAGAACAUGAGAAAGUUUAUUGAUUCUGUGAUACAACUAAGUUGCAAAUGUUUUUCAGUUUAAGAUCUUCCAUGUACAAGCAGUAGUAUGUACAAGCAACAAAACCGAACACGAAAAAAUAAACUAAGCUUCUAAGGAAACAAUACAAUAAGCUUAUUUGAACUCAGAAGUUUAUUCGUAUUCUUGGUAUGUUGAAUAAAACUGUUUUCAGUUUCAUUUUACGAAAGACUUUGUAGCCCACAAUGAGUGGGCUAUCUUACACUGUCAAUAACUGCUUAUAUAAAUAAAUA